AUGGAAGCACUAAGACCCAGCUUUCAAGUUCAGAAUCCUCUCUAAUGGUUUCGUAACUCUCCUCAACACCCAAGACAAUGGCACUGAGGCAGCCGACCCUGAAGAGGGAGCUGAGGCCGGCCGAAUCCGAAGCACCAGCUCCGCAUCAGAGGCCGGGAGGACGCAGACCCGAGCAGAGGCGACGAGAGUCAACACGCCAGGGCCCGGAGUGGACGCCACCCAGACUGGGGCACAGUUCGCAGGCUUCCUCGGCAGGGUGGCUUCGGCUUGGGUGGCCCGUGUAUGACACUGACACUUUAUCACCCGUAAUUUAUUGGUUUUAUUUAUUUAUUUAUUUAUUUAUUUAUUUAUUUAUUGAGUCCUUAAACCUCAAAGGUUGUCUUACCCUGGAGUCCCCAAGAAGCGAAGUCUGAGAAAAUGGCCGUGUGUGUGGGUAGUUUAUUUGGGAGCAUGAUCCCAGGCAAGCAGAGGGAAAAGGGAAGGAGGGAGAGCCCAUGCAAGGACAUCCCUGUAGGUGACGGGACGUGCAGUCCUGUGGGACCACCUGACAAGCAGAACCAAAUGCACGUUAGGUGUCCUGGGCUGGGAAGGGGACCAAGGGAGAAGCACUGACCCGUCGACUCUUGUUCCAAGUGGUGAACAUUUCCCCCACCCUGGGAUUAAUUCCUCCCACCUGUAGGUCUCACAUUUUCCUGACACCAGUUGAGCUCCUAAACCCCCAUUGCAGGGGUGCCACGAAAGAAGCCUUGUGUCUGCCAGGGGCAAGAGGUACAUGGCAUCGCACGAAGCAAGGCUGCGUUUACCGGAAAGCGGCCGGAGCCUGCACAGAGCUGGGCUGGUCAUCGUGGCUGACCCAGGGCACAGGGGCCUUGGGCCUGGUGCCCACGAGCUUCAGAGCCCCUGGGGGGUUCAGCGGUGCAGCGUCUGCCUUGGGCCCAGGCACCUGGGAUCGAGUCCAGUGUCGGGCUCCCAGCGGGGAGCCUGCUUCUCCCUCUGCCUGGGUCUCUCCCUCUCUCAUGAAUAAAUAAAUUUAAAAAAAAAUUUUUUUAAGGUUU
rnacentral:lncRNA from 12 species